UUUACCCUACAAUAUAUUUAUAAAUUGAAUUAUAAUAUAAAAUUUUAGGCUCAUGGAGGAAAGUAUGCUUGUGCAUGGUGUGAAGGUUCUUCAGAAUUAUUUUCUGGAGAGUUAAGAACAUUUCAAUCUUUGAAUAAUUACUAUGAACUGUAUUCAUCUGCAGGAUCUCCGGUGAAAAGAAUGAAAGAAUAUAAGAAUGUCAUUAAUCCUUGUCUGCUUAAGAUAGAAGACAAAUCUCUAAGUAUAAUAAGAGAGAUUCCAUUACUAGAACUUCACCUUCUGAUGGGAUUUGUUAACCAUGUGGCAGAAUUUAUAAUGCAACUUUGGCCUGGAUUUAUAGAUUGGGUCAAGAGCAUUUGAUGCCUUCGAAAAGGUUACCAUGGAGGAACAUUUGAAGGAAACACGUGUAGAGAGAUACUUAAAAGUUGCGACACACUUGAGUUGAUAAUUCCUGUUGAACUGUAUCCUCUCUUAGAAACAAUGAGAAAAUUUAAUAAGGUUGUUCAUGGUGUCUUUAGCUAUAAACUUGACCCAAACUAUUCAAUUUUAAUUGAAAGUUUUACACAAAGCUAUAAGGAUGCACAAGACUAUUGCAGAGAGGUAAACAGCUCACGGUUACUUGGAAAGUACAUGCUGUAACAGCACAUCUGGAAACAUUUGUUGAUUUGAGUGGCCUUUCUCUUGGGCAGUUUAAUGAGCAGACAUCUGAAUCUUGCCAUUCCAAGAUGAAAAGUGUAAUAAACAGGUUUGGAGUCUCGCAGUACAGCAACAAACAUAAAGAAAGAAGCAAAAGAAUUGCUGAAGUGUUCAGUUCAAAUAAUUUAUAAGUUAUUGAACAUUAAUUGUACAUCAAAACAUAAACAUUAUUGAAAUCUUAAAGUUAAAAAAAUUUGUAAAUUUAUUCAAAAAGACACUAAAAAUACAUUAGUAU